UUUUUUUUAAGUUUUACUUAUUUAUUAUAUAUAUUUAUUUAUAUUGCAUAUAAAAAUAAUAAUAAUAUAAAAAUCUAUAAUUUUGAUAAGUUUUAUUGUUUUACUUUAUGGUUGUGAUUUUUUUUAUGCAUAAUAAAUAAGUAAAAAUAAAAAAAAUUAUUACGUAUGUAUACUUAUCUCUUUUUUCAUGAUCAUGUUUGUAGGCAGCUUUUUCCAUCAUCCUCUAUGCCUAGGACGCGUGUCCCUCCGAAGAUCAAUUAUGGUGAGCCUGGAAGAGUUGCAACAAGGAAGAAAACCACUGCACAUAAAAGGAAGAAUAGUGAUUCCAAAUUAGUUGCUCCCAAGAAAAUUAGAGUAGGAAAGAGUGGUGAAGUUCCUCCUGUUCUUGAAAAUUGGGAAGAUGAAAUUAUUAGAAAAAUAAGAGAAGAUCGUUUUUGGGGAGAAGUUCGUGCCAGACAGGUUAACGAACAUCCCUCUAAGUCUGUUGGAUAUGAUUGGAAUCGUUUAUUCUCAAAAGCACCUCCUCAUAGAAGAAGUGGUAUUCCAGGACCAUCUAUUCUGAAAUUCAGGUUUGAACGUGGUGAGUUUCCCCUUUCUGCUACUAAGUUAGGGUCCAAUUCUCAAUUUGUUCAUGGUUGGGAUGAAUGGGUAACUAAAGUAUUGAAGAAUCCUUCUUAUGUUAAACUUCUCUCUUCUGCUGGGAUACUUGAUGCUAUACGUAUCACUUCUAAGCUCAAUAUUCGUAGAGAAAAAAGGAUAAAUGUGUGGCGUGCUAUUCUUGCGAAGUGGAGCACGUUUUCUCAUACUAUGAUUACUGCAUGGGGGGAAUUUACCUUCACUCUAGAAGAUGUGUGUGUUCUCUUGGAACUUCCUUGUAUAGGAAAGGAUGAUUUUCACUCUAUUAAGCUUUCUGAAGAAGAGGUAUGUACUCAAGACUUUCUUUGAUCUACUUAAGAGUCUGAGUAAAACUUCGAAGGUUGCACGAUUUUUCAAUUGGAUAAGGAUUUUUUAUAAAAAGUUCAAUGCUAAAGGAAUUGAGAUUGAUUCUCCUAAGUACCCAAACCAUAAGUAUGAGCUAGUAACUUUAAUAAUUUUUUGAUUGGCACGACACGUACUCCCAAGGUGUCCAGAUGAUGGUAUCUCCUCAGCAGUUGUUCCUUUAGCAAUAAAAAUUGUUAAGGGAAUACGCUUUCCUCUUGCUCCACUGUAUUUAGGAUCCCUAUAUAAGAGAUUAGACUUAUACCAACUCAAAACUAUUGAGUCAGCUGGGCGUUACAAGGUUUUGACUUAUGUGGAUGUUUCCUUCAUUCAGAUGUGCUUAUGGGAAAGGUUUGGCACUUGUGCUCCCAUGCCUAAUGCAUAUCCUUUUGCAUCUUUUUCUAUGAAUAACCCUUUAUCCAGAAACAACUAUAGAGCUUGGGCAUGGCAUGAUCGACUACAAAGGGGUAAUGUUCUUGAAGUGAUGGAUGUUACAAAAGAAUUCAAUCUCAGACCUUAUGUGCAGCCUAUAAAUGGAUUUGGUGAUCCUGCAAUUUAUUAUGACCUUCAUUCUCUACAGUCUAGAAGAAUGAGCUCACGAGGUAUUAACUUUUGUAUAUGGGUUCAUAGUUCCCAUUUACCUUCUAUGAUUGAGAGUUUUAGUUCUGGUGGAGAUAGAAACUUUCGUUCUGUUGAAGUGUAUUCUCCUUAUAGAGUGGCACGUCAAUUUGGAUUUGACCAACCAGCUCCACCUGACUCCUCUUCGCCUAUCAACUUUUAUUCUUGCGUUUCUUCAUUUCUCAUGAAAGGACUUUCACUCCGUUCAGAUAAACUGAAAAGUUGUACUGUCCCAGCUUUUGAUAGAGUUGGUAUCCACACUUCUGGAUGGUUUGCUUAUUGGAUGGAGUGUGUUGAAGAAUGGAGAUAUUUUAUUGUUCCUUUGACUAAUCCCAAAGCUUGUCUCUACACUUUUUUUAUAAGUAACUCCGAUGUAUCCUUACGCUUGAUUUCUCUCAAAAAGAAAAGAAAUGUAAAUGCAGAAAAAGAUGAUGUUCCUCGCGCUCUUACUCAUCAAACAGAACAUGUGCAUCGAAAAGUAAGUUCAUCUUUUACUUCUUCUUUUACUUUUUUUUUAAAAUAUUUUUUUUUUGUAGAGAGAAACAACUGUGAGAGUAGAACUUAAACUCGAUUGAAGAGGAAGAAACUUUUGAAGCUGAGACUGAGGAAGAAUCAUGUGACUCUGAACGUAGUGAUGAAUUUGAUAAUGAGUCUGUUGAUGUUGAUGAAGCUAAAAAUGAGAGUGAGCUAGCCCCUUUUGAUGAUUUAAUUGAUUUGAAUGUUCUAUUUCCAAAUCAUGUUCAGAGCUUUAUUCCCCAAGUUAUUCAAGAUGAGGCUAUUCUUAAUACCGAGGUUGUUCCUAACACUGAGGUUAUUUCUGCUAUUGAGAUUGUACCUGAUGUUAGAGUUGAUGCUGGAGCUAUUCUUGAUGUUGUCAUCAAUAAUGUCGGAGCAACUUCCAAUAUUGAGGUUGUUCAUGAUGUUGGAGUUGUUACUAAUGAUGCUAGAGCUACUCCGAUUAAUUCUCGUGCUUCUUCCNGUGAGAGUAGAACUUAAACUCGAUUGAAGAGGAAGAAACUUUUGAAGCUGAGACUGAGGAAGAAUCAUGUGACUCUGAACGUAGUGAUGAAUUUGAUGAUAAGUCUGUUAAUGUUGAUGAAGCUGAAAGUGAAGGUGAGCUAGCCCCUUUUGAUGAUGUCCUUGAUUUGGAUGUUCUAUUUUCAAAUCAUGUUCAGAGCUUUAUUCCCCAAGUUAUUCAAGAUGAGGCUAUUCUUAAUACCGAGGUUGUUCCUAACACUGAGGUUAUUUCUGCUGUUGAGAUUGUACCUGAUGUUAGAGUU
rnacentral:lncRNA from 1 species